AUUUAAGUUGGUAUUAAAAAUAAAUAAGUAUUUUAAACAUUUGUAAAAUAUUGAAGACUUUUCGGGGGGGGGGGUGUCCAGACACCCUCGACCCCCCAGAUACGACCGUGCUAAACGCUCAAAAUUAGACAUGGGUGCGCCCGGGCGAUUCGGUGCGUUUAAAUGCUCGACUUAUUAUCCUGUAUAAAUACAACUCAUAUAAAACUGCAUGUUUAAUUUUGAGUAAUUAAUCGUUUUAGUGUUAUUAUAAUGCGCCGGAGCAGUCCACUUGCGCCUGAAUGUAUUUUUAAUAAAAUCCGUGCAAUGUUACCAAACUGUAUUAUUUCAUAAUUGGGCAUUCCUAUAAUAUUAUUUACAAAUUUAAUUAUUUUUAUUUUUUUCGUUAUAUUCAUGACAAUUAUCUCUGUGAACCUUAUUGUUAUAUUCUGUGAUAUAUUAUAUAUAAAAUAUAUUGUUUUUUUUUUUUUUUAAUCGCCUGAGAUAAACUUAAAAAAAUAGUUGCUUUAGGGAAAGAGGAUGCUUUCCAAAAGUAGGUACUUUAAAUAUCACUAGAAGAUAUCAUGCGGUGCUAAAAGGAUUAAUUAUUUAAACCAUAAAAUUGAUGAAUAAUUCAAAAAUGUCAAAAAAUAAUAUCAAUCACUGAAAUAUCCAUAACUCAACUAUUUUUUAACAUAGGAAGUUGGUUUUACCACCGAAAUUCAUGAAAAAAUAAGAGUAAAAAUAACUAACCAAAAAAUAGUGGGGUUGCCAUUUAAAAAAAAGAGUUGUUAUGCGCAUGCGCGAAAUGAAAUGGCAUAAAAAUUGUUUAAUUACUUUAAUAAGUUAUAACAAACUUUGUUAAGCACCACAAACAAACAGAAUUCAAAUACCUUUAAUAUUUGUUAAGUUAUGAGUGUUUCCAACAACCGAUUACACCUGUAUAGGCGCUUAUCGAUUAUAUUUUUCGGAAAAACUCAUUCUAAUGAUAAAAUCAUAGAGUAAUAAAAUUAGGUUAAAACUAAUAUCCGGUUAAUCCAGUCACAUCGGUUUGUAUAUUAUAUACAUAUAUAUAUAUAUAUUACAGUAGACCGUCUGCGGUUAUUUCCAAUCGACGGUUAAAUAAGUAUGAUAGGUUAGUGUCAGUUAAUUGACUCAAGUCUACGCGGUGUUCAAAAAUGGUUUAUGGAGUAGAAAAACUUAAACUGAACUUGACAAUACUUUAAAAGAUUAAAAUAUAUUGUAGUUCGUUAUGUGGUUUCAAAUGUCUUACAACUAACGUCGCAGUUAGUAUUAGUCGUGCGGCGACGGGUCAUAAGCACCGCGUGAGCCCAAAAUAAAACAAGAAUUCAAUAACAAAAUAUUUUCAAUGUUGCAAUUGUACCAUUCUAUCAAUAGUAAAUUCACAAUUUAUCCAAGAACAUAUGUUCCAUCGUUCCGACAAAAUUCUUGUUUUCAGGUCUCUGGUUGAACUUGCAUUCGUGACAUUUCGAUAUGCCGCUGGAAGAAGUUUAUAAGAAACAUUCGAUAAUGGAUUAAAUACCGGAAAAAUCGUUCGGGGAUAUAUGUAUUACGUCGGAUUGACUUUGAACUACUGCAUUUCGAUUCAUUGCGUUAAUCAUUCAUCUUUUCUUCGAUGGAAAUCGCAACGCAAUACAGUACUAAUCAUGUGAUUCCAAUUACGUCCUUUGAGCACGAAUCGAACGGUGAUGACAACAUCACAUCGUCACGUUGUCAUUUAUCUUCUGGGAUCCAAUCCUGAUUAGAUUGUUCGGCUAUUGAAAAUUACGAGUAGCUAAGACCUAGUGGAACACUUCUCUGUCCGUACUACAAGAUAAUGAUGUUACAAUGUGCUUGCGUUCAAUG